AAAGAGAUGUCCUCCACCAUCUUCCACGGUUUCUCUGCAGGAGACGCAGGUUGAGUUUCGUCUUCCUGUUGGUCACUGUCUUGCCUCUUCCUGUACAGAGAGAGAUGUUGUAUUUUCAAAAAACAUCGGCUGAGAGAGUUGAUGUACCAGCUGAGAGGGACAACACAAACACCAGCUGCAGGGGAGACCAUGACUUACCCAAAUUUGCACAUCUCCACAGUGGUGGGCUCAUCACUGGCACAGACAAUUACUGCCAUGCACGCACUCUGUAGCACCUCCUUGUGGCCAGUGCUGCCAGACACAGUGUGGUGUUGACCAACACCUGUGUAUCUGUGGACUUUAAGGGCUCCACCAGAGCCUUUAUGACUCCAUGUGACAGAAUGCUGUUGCGAAUGACUCCCUGUUGUGC